CAGUUUAUGUUUCAAGUCCAAAAUUUUGUUGGUUGUACCACCUUUUGGAAUAAAAAAUUUAUGAAUAGAACAAGAAAUUUAUGAACAUGUUCAAGCAGCAAUCUCAGUGUUAAAGUAUAGGGGACUGCCAAAAUUGCCCGAGGAUUUUCCCAUCCCUGCUACAAGAAAAGCUGAUGUUCUUGAUUUUCUGCACUACAUUUUUGGAUUUCAGAAAGACAAUGUUUCUAAUCAGCGGGAACACAUUGUUCACCUUCUUGCCAAUGAGCAAUCACAACUUCGUGUUCUUGAAGAAGCUGAACCCGAAUUGGAUGAAGCUGCAGUGCAAAAUGUAUUCCUGAAGUCCCUUGAUAAUUAUAUAAAGUGGUGCAACUACUUGUGCAUUCAGCCUGUUUG